CCUACGGGUGGCAGCAGUGGGGAAUAUUGCACAAUGGGCGAAAGCCUGAAGCAGCGACGCCGCGUGAGUGAAGACGUAUUUCGGUAUGUAAAGCUCUAUCAGCAGGGGAGAAAAUGACGGUACCUGUCUAAUUAGCCCCGGCUAACUACGUGCCAGCAGCCGCGGGAAUAAGUCGGGCGCCGGCGUUAUCCGGAUUUACUGGGGGUAAAGGGAGCGUAGAGGGGGAAACAAGUGAGAAGGGAAAACCCGGGGCUCAACCCUGGGCGUGCCGUUGAAACUGGUUGGCUGGAGUGCAGGAGAGGUAAGCGGAAUGCCUAGUGUAGCGGUGAAAUGCGUAGAUAUUAGGAAGAACACCAGUGGCGAAGGCGGCUUACCGG
rnacentral:rRNA from 1 species